GUAGGGAAUAUUGGACAAUGGGGGGAACCCUGAUCCAGCCAUGCCGCGUGUGUGAAGAAGGCCUUUUGGUUGUAAAGCACUUUAAGCGAGGAGGAGGCUACCGAGAUUAAUACUCUUGGAUAGUGGACGUUACUCGCAGAAUAAGCACCGGCUAACUCUGUGCCAGCAGCCGCGGUAAUACAGAGGGUGCGAGCGUUAAUCGGAUUUACUGGGCGUAAAGCGUGCGUAGGCGGCUUUUUAAGUCGGAUGUGAAAUCCCCGAGCUUAACUUGGGAAUUGCAUUAGAUACUGGGAAGCUAGAGUAUGGGAGAGGAUGGUAGAAUUCCAGGUGUAGCGGUGAAAUGCGUAGAGAUCUGGAGGAAUACCGAUGGCGAAGGCAGCCAUCUGGCCUAAUACUGACGCUGAGGUACGAAAGCAUGGGGAGCAAACAGGAUUAGAAACCCGUGUAGUCC
rnacentral:rRNA from 1 species